ensembl:lncRNA
CGUGGGGAACAUUUUGGACCCAAGAACAGGCCAAAGUCUGCAUCCCUCUUCCUGGGCCUUCAAAAACCAACCCCUCAAGAGUCAGGCUGUGUUCUUUACUACAAGCACAAGUCCGACUAUUUUUGUUUUCGUUUUGUGGUACUGGGGAGUGAACCCAGGGCCUUCGCACUGAGCUCCAUCCCCAGCCCUUUCUUAUUUUUUAUUUUGACACAGGGUCUCACUAAGUUGUUAAGUGGUCCAUGCUGCGCUCGAACUUCCGACCCCCCUGCCUCUGCAUCCCGAGUGCUGGGAUGGCAGGCUUAUCGGGUCAUCUUCAUGAGACGGUUCCGGGAUCACAGACCAGGAUGACCUGAAAAGCCCUCAAGAAACAAUCGAGUAGAGGCUGGGCCGGGAACCCCGCCACCCGGAGCCUCCCCGUCCCCGGUCCCGGACCCACCAGCGUCCCGGAGCUCCUGCAAGAGGGAGUGGUCCAGCUGCGCUCACAACGCAAGGGAAAAGAAAGCCCUUCCGGGCGGGCGGGCGAACCGUUCCGGGGGCAGGGCCAGCGAGGGGGAGACAGACACGGGGAGGCCCACGGCUGGGGACCUGGCGCGAAGGAGGACGUGGCCGCGGGGUGCUCGGCAGCAGGACGACCGAGACGUCCUGUCCCAAAGAGAAGAGCUCAGGCCUGCGCUGCGGGACAUCCAGGGGCAUCAGGGAGGCUUCCUGGAGGAGACGCCCUAACGGGAAGGAAGGCGCAGAUCUAAACGGAGAAAGGCGAGGCCUAGGCGGAAAGCGAGGCAGAUGGGAAGUUAGCUGGGUGUGAAGCCGGGGGAACAACCGCAGAGAUGGCGCUGCUCCCGCGGGCGCCUGCCGGGGCGGGAUCCCCUUAGGAUCACUCGCACCGGAAGUCGAUUCUGGAGGUGUGCGGGCCUGCAGCUCUCGGCGGAACUCACAGGCGCUCGCUCGCGCUCUCUCCCUCCCUCCCUCUCCCAGUCUCACGCAUAGGUGCCGUUGUGAGCACACAAGCUCCACAGGUUGGGAUUUACACUUCUGCAUCUAUCUCAGAAGAGAGGGGAAAGUCUAGGGCGUAGCCCCUAGCUGUCCAUUGAGUCAGGCUGAGCACUGCACCCUCGGGCCUCACACAUGCUCUUUGUUUGAGGAGGGGCCGCCCGCCCUCGCCCAGGGCCCAGCACUGGGCCUGGGAAAGCUCUGUUCCCAGGAGCCUGAGAAGUUGGCCUCUGUCUAAGGCCCUGGAGAGGAGAACCUGGGGGAACCAAGUGCCCUGGGCAGCCGGGAGUCAACCUGCCAGACUCCUCAAACAGCCGGGCCCUCCGGAAGGCUUUGGGCAGGGAGCUGGGGAGCGGGGCCCCAACUCUGGGUGCUGGGAAGACACAGUGGGGUCCCCGGGGCUGGCAGUGCCAGUGGCACCUGUGGCCUGGAUGCGGCCUAGCGAUGCCAACUGUGUCCAGUCCUCCAUAAAGGGCCGGCCUCGCCCACCUGUCCGUGGUGCCACUCAGCUCUCCGGGCAAGACUUUUUGGCCACGCUGGAAAAAUCAUCCUCGUUGUCGAUGUCCUGCUCACCUAGGAGUUGCUGCAACCCUGCCAGUCUGGAGGCGUGGCUUAGCAGCGGAGCCCUCACUGGGCAUGGCUGGGCCCUGAGCUCAAUCCCCAGCACACAAAAGAGAGGAGAAGACCCUCCACCACCCUAGAUGUGCUGGCCCCCAACGUGACAUCUGUGCCACACUUGGCAGUUCCUGCCCUUCUGUCCCCAUCCCUGAUCAUCUAAAUCUUACGACAGCCCCUGAGGCCCCAGGUACAUUUGCAAUCCUCCUGCCUCAGCCUCCUGAACAGCUGGGAUUACAAGCACGACCCCAGGUACAGGUUCUGAGCUGCAUUUUCCCUUGAUGUUCAGAGAGCUUGUGCAGCUGCCCUGAGGACUCCCAGGGCCUCACUAGGUCAUUAAAUUGCCCGGGCUGGUCUCUGACCUGCGAUCCUCCUACUUCAGCCUCCCAGACUGCUGGGAUGACAACUGG